GCUUUAUAUUUAAAGAUUAUUAUUUAUUUAGAAGAAUUUUUAUAAUAGUGAUAUAAAUAUUUUGUUGGGGUGACAGGAAGAUAUAAUAAACUCUUUUUAGUUUAAUUACAUUUAUUUAUGAAUUGAUGAUCCAUUAUUAGUGAUUACAAGACUAAGU
rnacentral:rRNA from 1 species